CCAAUAGCGUAUAUUAAAGUUGUUGCAGUUAAAAAGCUCGUAGUUGAAUUUCGGGAUUGACACAUCGGUCGUGCCUUAAGGGGUGUGAACUGGUGUAGUCAAUUUCUCACCUUCUGGAGAACCGCGAUGUCCUUAAUUGGGUGCCGCGAGGAACCAGGACCUUUACUUUGAAAAAAUUAGAGUGUUUAAAGCAGGCAUUUUUGCUUGAAU
rnacentral:rRNA from 1 species